AUGUCAAAAAAUAAAGACAAAAGAUACUGAUUACUUGCUAAACAUUGAUGCGCAUCAAGCUGUAACUGCGCUAUACUCUCCCUAGAAGACCGACCUUUGCGAAAACCAAACUGAUUAUUAGGCAAAAGACAAUUUUGUUCUAUAAAGAACUCGAGACGUUGUUUUAGAAGCUGCUCAAAUAUCUUCCCAACACAAGACGUGAGAGCUAUAGGUCUAUAAGAGUCAGCAUUUAAAACUGCUUCUGUACACUUCUGAUUCCACCAAGGCAACCAAGGAUAUUUAAAAGAUUUUUGUGAACAAGAACUAGUAACAUUAUUACUAUUAGAACUUUUGGAAAACAGACAGCUAGGGAUUGACUGCUUGGCAGCAGAAAGUAAAAUAUUACAAAAGGAAUUAAAAGCAUCUAUUGAAGAUAAAGUGUCAAAUUUAACAUCAUCCAAAUAAGAAACAACUAAGUUACUAUACAUAUUCCAAUUCACCUGCUUAUAAUUUGGGGAGAUGAUAACUACUGCCCAGAGGACUGUCAAUAACUGACCAGUCACAUAAAAGAGCCAAUGAUGGAGUUACCAAAGUCAAGUCAAGAGCAUUAGGACGCCAAGAUGGAGAUCCUAUUGUGGUAGCUUGACCAUUAUUCAGAAUAACAAGACCAUUCUCAUCUAUAACCUCUAAAACAUCUUUACCUCGACGCAAUGUAUCAACACAUCCCCACAACAUGUGAUGAGCAUUGAAAUCACCUGCAAAUAUCAUUGGCUCUGGAAUGGACUUAAUUAAACUGUUUAAAUUGUUUUUAUUAAAUGGAGGAUUUGAAUUGGAAGGACUGUAAAAACUCACAAUACUCA